AGUAUGUGGUUCCCUCGCUGCUUCUUUUUUUUUUUUUUAAGAUUUUAUUUAUUUAUUUGAGAGAGAGAGCACAGAGGGACAGAGGGAGAAGCAGAAUCCCUACUGAGCAAGGAGCCUGAUGCGGGGCUCGAUCCCAGGACCCUGAGAUCAUGACCUGAGCCGAAGGCAGACGCUUAACGACUGAGCCACCCAGGUAACAUCACCUGCUUAGCAGGUCGUCACACACAGGAUACAUCAAGAUUCAAAGCACCCAGAAGACCCUGCCUAAAUGUUUAAGGAAAGGAAUCUUCACAAUCCUAAAAUACCUGAGAUGUUUAUAAUUCCUGGCGUAUUUUGACAAGAAUGGCCUGCAGGUGGCAUUUACAAGAAAAGGUCUUCAAGUUUGAUAGGACUCAGUGAUGCAACUGCAUGGAAGACAUACGGAGUCAUUACGGACACUCAGAGGGCCAUUCGUCCCCCUGCUCUUUCCAGCUCACCCGUGCAGACACAGAGCAACCCCCUGCAGGUCGGCUCGGGCUCCUCCCGACGGGGCAGUGGCAGGACCAUCCAUCUUCCCAGGGAGGAAAUUUUGUCUGACUGGAGGUGUCAAUGACUCCUCAGAGGAAAAUCAGCAUGGAAGUAAGAAGAGCUCAAGGGGACAUCAAGAGUCCACAGUGUCUCUGCUUCAAACUCUUUCAAGUUCUGCAUAUACAUGAACAAGAAAUCCCCAGUCUCUAAGAGGAAGGACAUGCAGACAUCCUAGAGGAAUGAGCUGCCCUUCUCAAGGACUCACUCUUCAGCAUGGAGGCCAUGUAGCGCUCCUGGGUCCCAGAGUCCUCUGCUCCCUUGAACAAUGGAAGCUCCUCUUAGAAAGGAACCUGGUACUGUCACAAGGUUUCGGAAGAAAGGCAGUGGCAUGGGACAAGGUAACACUGCAGGACUCUGCAGGGACUGACAGAAGAGAAAAGAAGCUAGUGGUGGUGGCAGCAGCCAUGCGUUCCUGGAAGAAGAGGAAAGCCGUCUUGUUGGACUCCUGGCUGCAUUGGGCCCUUACCAAGCGCGUUGCACACAUGAUCGCAUUUAACUUUUUUUUUUUUUAAAGAUUUUAUUUAUUUAUUUGACAGAGAGAGAGACACAGCAAGAGAGGGAGCACAAGCAGGGAGAGUGGGAGAGGGAGAAGCAGGGAGCCUGAUGCGGGGCUCGAUCCCAGGACCCUGGGACCAUGACCCAAGCCAUAGGCAGACACUUAACGACUGAGCCACCCAGGCGCCCCACAUUUAACUUUUAUGUGACUCACAACCACCUUGAAAGGUUGACAAAGUUGUCCCUUUGUUAUAGAUGAAAAACAAGGAGCAUCUGGGUGGCUCAGUCCAUUAAGUGUCCGAUUCUUGGUUUCAACUCAGGUCAUGAUGUCAGGAUCGUGGGAUCGAGCCCCACAUCGGGCUCUCUGCUCGGCGGGGGAAUCUGCUGGAGAUUGGGUCUCUCCCUUCCCUCCUCUCUCUCUCUCUCUCUCAAAUAAUAAAUAAAUAAAUAAAUAAAUAAAUAAAUAAAUAAAUAAAUAAAUAAAAUCUAAAAAAGAAAAACAACUGACAUUUAGAAACCUUCUGUUUAAAAGUAGUUUAAUGGAAAAUGCUAUAAAAAUAUUAUUUAUCAGCAGACACAAUGAAUGUGGCGUAUUUAUUGAAACACCCAGAAAAACACCUCAGGUAAACAUUAUGCUCAAGGCCCAAUGUGCUCUGAUUAACUGAGUAGUUCAUCUUACUUAGUUAAUAAUUUUACACUCUAACACUUGCACUUGGAAAAAUUGUGCCUGGGAAGAAUGCAAACCCCUCUGGCUUCAGAAAUGAUUUUCAAACUAGUGUUUGUGCUUUGUGAAUUGUUUUAAUGACGACAGUUCUGAAGGUUGUGAUUCCAUCUCAUUGAUAAUAUAAGUGUAUUAUGUGUAUUAAAUGUAUUCAGCUAUACUUAAGGCAUAAAUGUUUCCAUAAAGCGAAAUCAAAACAAUAUGGCAAUGCUGUGAUGACCAAGGGGCUCA